UACGUAGGGGGCGAGCGUUGUCCGGAUUCAUUGGGCGUAAAGAGCUCGUAGGCGGCUUGGCAAGUCGGGUGUGAAAACUCCAGGCUCAACCUGGAGACGCCACCCGAUACUGCCAUGGCUUGAGUCCGGUAGGGGACCACGGAAUUCCUGGUGUAGCGGUGAAAUGCGCAGAUAUCAGGAGGAACACCGGUGGCGAAGGCGGGUCUCUGGGCAGUAACUGACGCUGAGGAGCGAAAGCGUGGGGAGCGAACAGG
rnacentral:rRNA from 1 species